rnacentral:lncRNA from 13 species
GGAUGAUGUCGACAUGUGUGGUUCCCACCGUGAAGCAUGGAGGUGUAUGUGACAAAUAAAAUUAGAUUUGAUUUGGAGCAAUUUGCCAUCCGAUCUGGCUUAGUGGGACUAUCAUUUGUUUUUUUAACAUGACAAUGACGCAACACAGGCUGUGUAAGGGCUAUUUGACCAAGAAGGAGAGUGAUGGAGUGCUGCAUCAGAUGACCUGGCCUCCACAAUCACCCGACCUCAGCCCAAUUUCGAUGGUUUGGGAUGAGUUGGACCACAGAGUGAAAGAAAAGCAACCAACAAGUGCUUAGCAUAUGUGAGAACUCCUUCAAGACUAUUGGAAAAGCAUUCCAGGUGAAUCUGGUUGAGAAAAUGCCAAGAAUGUGCAAAGCUUUUUAACACUUUUUUGGUUACUACAUGAAUCCAUAUGUUUUAUUUCAUAGUUUUGAUGUCUUCACUAUUAUUCUACAAUGUAGAAAAUAGUAAAAAUUAACAAGUAGGUGUGUCCAAACUUUUUACUGGUGAUGUAUAUAUUUUUUUACUUUGCCAAGCACCACAGCCUAAUGGGGUAUUUAUUUUAGCUCUAGAUUGCAGGAAAUAGCAGUUACAUGUGUUUAAAAAUGACCUGGCUAGCCAGCCUUUCUAGAGAGAGCAUUGCAUUGUGGGUUUUGUAUUCCACUUGAGCAUUGCAGAUUUCCACAACAAUUUUCGUGUUGCUCCCUAACUUAUAACGGCGAAAUGCAGAAACAAUUGGCAUAUUUGCGUUAUUUAACAAUGUAAAUCAGAGGAAUUAGGGGUUUUGAGUGAGUUAUUCCUUGAAUAUAAAACAGUAUUGGUGUUCCAACACACAGCAAAUGUCUUCCAACCACCAUGCAUACCAAUGUAUUUGCGCUAUGUGAUUGCAUUGCCUGGGAAAUGUUAGAAAGUGAGACUGACAGACAGUUAUAUCCAAACAGGCUCUUGUUCCCGAGAGUCAGAUGUCCCCCGACGCUGACGUGGAGAGAGAGAGGGACAGUGUCCCCUGUCUGCUACCCCCUCGCCCCUCUGGACCCUUACAGAUGGUGACUCCAGCCAAGAGGAGGGUGUCUGAGUCCAGCACGUUCAUCACCAGCAGCGGAGGAGGGAGGGGGACAGGAGCCAGCCCCUUUAGCGUUGUUAUGGCAGCAUCCACUCCCAGAGGCAGCAGGCCCAAAGUGAAGCCGGCUAUAGAGCUGGUCAGGUCGUGUGAGAGGCAAGGCCAGUCGGGCCUGGGGGAGCUGAGGACGGCCAAACCCUACUACAAUGCCGCCCCUGGCAUUACACUGAGCCACAGCAGGAGGGAGCAGGUGCAGAAGGACUUACCAUAGAAAUGGAGUUACAUUUACAUUCAUGCAUUAAUUACAGAUAUACAGUGCCUUAGGAAAGUAUUCAGACCCCUUGACUUUUUCCACAUUUUGUUACGUUAUAGCCUUAUUCUAAAAUGGAUUGAGACAUGUUUUCCCCAGCAAUCUACAAACAAUACCCCAUAAUGACAAAGUAAAAACAGGCUUUUAGACAUUUUAGGAGAAAUACCUUAUUUACAUAAGUAUUCAGACCCUUUGCUAUGAGACUCG